CAAUUUUCCUGCCUUGGCCUCCUGAAGCUCUGGGAUUACAGCUCUCACCAGCAACCUCCUUGAUGACUUUUAGACUCUGCUAAUACCAUCCCCAAAGCCCACUGGGUUUUACUGAUAUUUUACUCAAGGGCCUUUCAGAUUCUGCUCAUCAUCCAGUGCCAAGGCCAGUGAUGCAUGGAUUCAGGAGAGGUCUGACUGAGCCGUUCUGGGUCAGAAUUUCUCAUGGAGCCAGAAAGGCAUGGAACGGGAGCAUAUGGGGCUGAACAAGCAUCUCUUUAUGUAAUCUCAGAGCCUCUCUAUGUGGUUUCUCUAUAUGGAUUAUUUGAGAUUUCCUCCUAGUACUGCAGCUUCAAGGACUGCUUACAUGGCAAAUGAAGGAUCUCUGCAAUCAAGGCAGAAGCCGCAUGGCUUUUUAUAUCCUGCGAAGUUACAUGAUCACUUCCUCCACAUUCUUUUGGCUACAAGUGACUCACAAGCCAACAAAACUCAAAGGAUGGGGCAAGACUAUAAGUGGGAGGAGUGGCAAGAUCACACUGUAGAAGAGGAGAUGAGAUGGAAGCUACUGUCAUAGCCCACUUCAGAAAAUAAAAUCUGCCACAUAUGUAAAACAUGGUUGAUUAUUGUAAUUUCCUAUGGUUCAACCUCAUAUACAAAUGUAUGGCGAAAGAGACCUGGAUUUCAUUUACUCAGAAAAUUUUCAUAUAUUAGAUUGACCUGUAUUUAUUUUUUCUUCUACUGUCUCUAUCCUGAUUUGGUGUAAAGGUUAUAAAAGAAUUUCUAGGUGAAUUUGGAAGUAAUCUAUAUUUUAAAAAUUCUCUAAUACUGCUUACAUAAUGAUAAUCAAGUCCUUAAUGUUUGCUAAAAUUUUAUUGGACAUCCAUCUGGGCUUUGCUAUAUUUCACUGAGGGAAGCUUUUGAUACUCCAAUUCAAUUUUGUUAUUUAUUGUUGAUUUUAUUCAGUCUUGCUUUUUCUGCUUUGGUCAGUUUUGAUAAUGUGCAGUAUUCUAGAAAACUGAAAAAUGUGUUAUCUAUUUUUAUUUGACUGGCGUAUGGUUAUCCUUAGUAUUCUCCCAUAAUUUUUUAAAAUCUAAACUGUUGUAUAGCCCCUGUUCAUCAAAUACUAGUUACAAGUACAUUCUCACGAAUGCUCUUGAAUCUUUCACCCAAACAGAAAAUUAAAAAUAACUUGAAGCCUCUACUUAGUGUUCCCUUUUUCCA
rnacentral:lncRNA from 1 species